rnacentral:tRNA from 1 species
GUCGAGGUGGCCCAGCCUGGUACGGCGGUGGACUGCUAAUCCACUGGUCUUUCGACCACCCGGGUUCGAAUCCCGGCCUCGGCG